rnacentral:misc_RNA from 1 species
GAUGAAGAACGCAGCGAAACGCGAUAAGUAAUGUGAAUUGCAGAAUUUAGUGAAUCAUCGAACUUUUGAACGCACAUUGCGCCCGGCGGCACUCCGCCGGGCAUGCCUGUCCGAGCGUCAUUAUACUGCCCUCGACUCCCUGAGUCGGUGUUGGGAGCCUCUGCCACCUAUGCGCAGCUCCCCAAGUCCACUGGCGUCGCGCCAACGGUGCCCCUGCGUAGUAAUUUCACCUCGCUCGGGACCUAGGCGCCGGCUGCCUUCUCUCUCUCUGACAGCAGGGCUCUCGAGUCCCGCUCUCGCACAGUUGACCUCGGAUCAGGUAGGGUUACCCGCUGAACUUAAGCAUAUCAAUAAGCGGAGGA